rnacentral:rRNA from 1 species
UACGUAUGGAGCAAGCGUUAUCCGGAUUUACUGGGCGUAAAGGGAGCGUAGGCGGCCUGCCAAGUCUGAUGUGAAAGCCUUCGGCUUAACCGGAGUAGUGCAUUGGAAACUGGGAGACUUGAGUGCAGAAGAGGAGAGUGGAACUCCAUGUGUAGCGGUGAAAUGCGUAGAUAUAUGGAAGAACACCAGUGGCGAAAGCGGCUCUCUGGUCUGUAACUGACGCUGAGGUUCGAAAGCGUGGGUAGCAAACAGG